rnacentral:rRNA from 1 species
AUUGAACGCUGGCGGCAGGCCUAACACAUGCAAGUCGAGCGGAUGAAGGGAGCUUGCUCCUGGAUUCAGCUGCGGACGGGUGUGUAAUUCCUAUGAAUCUGCCUGGUAGUGGGGGAUAACGUCCGUAAACGGGCGCUAAUACCGCAUACGUCCUGAGGGUGAAAGUGGUGGAUCUUCGGACCUCACGCUAUCAGAUGAGCCUAGGUCGGAUUAGCUAGUUGGUGGGGUAAAGGCCUACCAAGGCGACUAUCCGUAACUGGUCUGAGAGGAUGAUCAGUCAAACUGGAACUGAGACACGGACCAGAGACCUACGGGAGGCAGCAGUGGGGAAUAUUGGACAAUGGGCGAAAGCAGGAUCAAGCAAUGCGGCGUGUGUGAAGAAGGUCUUAGGAUUGUAAAGAACUUUAAGUGGGGAGGAAGGGAAGUAAGUUAAUAACUUGAUGUUUUGACGUUAACAACAGAAUAAGCACCGGCUAACUUCGUG